UUAAAGAACUAAAUUACAAAAUAUCACAAGAUAUGAAAUGUUUUAUACUGUAUAUAUCAGUGCUUACUGAUAAUCUGACAGCCUAACUCAUAUAUUUUAUGUCUAAUGAAACAAACCCACUGGUGCUUUCAGAGAGCCUGGAUCGGGCUGUAUGAUGACAUCGUUGGCUGGCAGUGGUCAACGUCAGAAACCAGUGAGUUCAGAAACUGGUCACCUGGACAACCAGAUAACAAAUGGGUUAUAGAAUACUGCGUAUUUAUGCUUGAUGGACCGUGGUUUUAUGACCCUUGUACGAAUGUGUUCAGAUUCGUCUGCUCUAAUAACACAGGGUCGACUAGGACAUUUGUCUUCAUUGACAUUAUAACGAGCUACUGCAGACUUCAUUACACAGACCUGGCCAGUGUGAGGAACAUGACAGAGAACCAGAAGAUAGAUGACCUGGUACCUCCAGGGAUAAGGGUGUGGAUCGGCCUUUUCAGAGAGUCCUGGAAGCAGCAAACUUUGAAGAAAAUGCAAAAUGGGAGGACUGGGCCUGUGGCUCACAGAAGGAGUUUGUUUGCAAUGUUGCACCUGUUUACAAGGAAGUGGUGAAAGUGAACCUGAUAAACUCCGGUCUGGAUCUGACCCACCCUGAUGUGAUGGAAGCC